rnacentral:rRNA from 1 species
GACGAACGCUGGCGGCGUGCUUAACACAUGCAAGUCGAACGGUGAAGCGCCUUCCUUUUUGGUGGGUGUGGAUGAGUGGCGAACGGGUGAGAAACACGUGAGUAACCUGCCCCCUUCUUCUGGAUAACCGCAUGAAAGUGUGGCUAAUACGGGAUAUUCUGGGUCUGUCGCAUGAUGGGUCUGGGAAAGAUAUUGUUUCGGUGGGGGAUGGGCUCGCGGCCUAUCAGCUUGUUGGUGGGGUGAUGGCCUACCAAGGCGGUGACGGGUAGCCGGCCUGAGAGGGUGGACGGUCACACUGGGACUGAGACACGGCCCAGACUCCUACGGGAGGCAGCAGUGGGGAAUAUUGCACAAUGGGCGCAAGCCUGAUGCAGCGACGCCGCGUGAGGGAUGGAGGCCUUCGGGUUGUGAACCUCUUUCGCCAGUGAAGCAGGCCUGCCUCGUUUGUGGGUGGGUUGACGGUAGCUGGAUAAGAAGCGCCGGCUAACUACGUG